rnacentral:rRNA from 1 species
CCUACGGGAGGCAGCAGUGGGGAAUUUUGGACAAUGGACGCAAGUCUGAUCCAGCCAUGCCGCGUGUGGGAAGAAGGCCUUCGGGUUGUAAACCACUUUUGUCAGGGAAGAAACGGCCUGGGUUAAUACCUUGGGCUAAUGACGGUACCUGAAGAAUAAGCACCGGCUAACUACGUGCCAGCAGCCGCGGUAAUACGUAGGGUGCAAGCGUUAAUCGGAAUUACUGGGCGUAAAGCGUGCGCAGGCGGUUAUGCAAGACAGAUGUGAAAUCCCCGGGCUCAACCUGGGAACUGCAUUUGUGACUGCAUGGCUAGAGUACGGUAGAGGGGGAUGGAAUUCCGCGUGUAGCAGUGAAAUGCGUAGAUAUGCGGAGGAACACCGAUGGCGAAGGCAAUCCCCUGGACCUGUACUGACGCUCAUGCACGAAAGCGUGGGGAGCAAACAGGAUUAGAUACCCUGGUAGUCCACGCCCUAAACGAUGUCAACUGGUUGUUGGGAGGGUUUCUUCUCAGUAACGUAGCUAACGCGUGAAGUUGACCGCCUGGGGAGUACGGCCGCAAGGUUGAAACUCAAAGAAAUUGACGG